rnacentral:rRNA from 1 species
CCUACGGGUGGCAGCAGUGAGGAAUAUUGGUCAAUGGGCGCGAGCCUGAACCAGCCAUCCCGCGUGCAGGAUGACGGCCCUAUGGGUUGUAAACUGCUUUUCUACUCCAAGAAACCCCCGAUCGUGAUCGGGGUUGCCGGUAGAGUAGGAAUAAGCAUCGGCUAACUCCGUGCCAGCAGCCGCGGUAAUACGGAGGAUGCAAGCGUUAUCCGGAUUCAUUGGGUUUAAAGGGUGCGCAGGUGGGCUUGUAAGUCAGUGGUGAAAUACUGCCGCUUAACGGUAGAAUUGCCAUUGAUACUGUGAGUCUUGAGUAUGGUUGAGGUAGGUGGAAUGUGCAGUGUAGCGGUGAAAUGCAUAGAUAUUGCACAGAACUCCGAUUGCGAAGGCAGCUUACUAAGCCAUUACUGACGCUGAGGCACGAAAGCGUGGGUAGCGAACAGGAUUAGAUACCCUAGUAGUCC